GCUGGGCGUGGUGGCGCAUGCCUGUAGUCCCAGCUACUCGGGAGGCUGAGGCAGAAGAAUUGCUUGAACCCGGGAGGCUUCAGUGAGCCGAGAUCAAGCCAUUGCACUCCAGCCUGGGUGACAGAGCAAGACUCUGUCUCGA
rnacentral:SRP_RNA from 1 species